rnacentral:rRNA from 1 species
UACGAAGGGGGCUAGCGUUGCUCGGAAUCACUGGGCGUAAAGCGUGCGCAGGCGGCUUCUUAAGUCAGAUGUGAAAUCCCCGGGCUUAACCUGGGAACUGCGUUUGAAACUGGGAAGCUAGAGUGUGGCAGAGGGGGGUGGAAUCCCACGUGUAGCAGUGAAAUGCGUAGAUAUGUGGAGGAACACCGAUGGCGAAGGCAGCCCCCUGGGCCUGCACUGACGCUCAUGCACGAAAGCGUGGGGAGCAAACAGG